GAGUUAUGCACUUUUUAAGUGUAAUCAGUUGGAUGCAUAUUGUUUUUCGCUGCAUGAGUAAUUUGUUUUUAAUGAGCUAAGAAGUGGGUUUUUGAAUUGCAAAGACAAGCAAAUCCAACUUUAAUAAUGUUCUUGGCUGGAAACAAGGCUGACUUGGAAGAGGAGAAAAGUAGGGACUGAGAAAAGUAGUCCUCACUUAGGAAGCAUAGAUCUAUCAGGGCAGAAAUGGUUAGGAAGUAGAGACGAUACGUCGUCUGCAGAAGGCAAGCAGAAAACAAGUAGUGAAGUCUUUGACCAUUGCGCAAUAGAUACACUGCUGAUUUCUCAUGGGACAAGUACUCUCUUCAUGAAGGACCUUUUGAGGAGGUCGGAGCAACGUGUUGAAACUUUUAUCAAUGGGGUAGAUUAGUUUAUGCUGUUGUUAACGAACUGUAUUUCAUGGUUUGAGUAUGACUUUCAUCAUUGGGAUAUAUGAUAAUACAUUGGAAGUUAUAUGUCUUUUUAAAUAAUAUCAAACAAUAGAAAGUUACCAACAACUAUGGUUUGAAACAAGUACACACAACAGAAAGAUCAAAGAUACUUCAAGCAUCUACACAUUCAAAGGACAUUUAAAUGUCCUUUUACAACAAUAGAGACAAUAGAUAACUAAUAGUGGAUGUUGUUUCAAUAAAGUUCACACAACAGAUUUGGCAAAGAAACAUGGAAAUUCUACACAUUCAGACGACAUUUUAUUGUCGUCUCGCAUUAAAACAGACAAUAGAUUAUUUGUAAAGUCUGUUGCUAGAGUUUGACAACAACAACAUUUGACUGUCGUUCUAUUUCAUAUCUAACCACAUAUACUUACAAUUUGUACAUAUUUAAGCACAUUCAGACGACAGAUUUUUUUUAGGUGUCUGUCGUCUGAGUGAAUUUCUGACGUCGGGCUUUAACCGUCGUCUGAACGUCAAUCAGAUAUCAGCUUACUAGACGACAGAUUUUUUGCAUAUCAGACGACGGUCAUUGUCUGUCGUCUGAUGAGGUUAUUGGC